rnacentral:rRNA from 1 species
UACGUAGGGUGCGAGCGUUGUCCGGAAUUAUUGGGCGUAAAGAGCUCGUAGGCGGUUUGUCGCGUCUGCUGUGAAAACUGGGGGCUCAACCCCCAGCCUGCAGUGGGUACGGGCAGACUAGAGUGCGGUAGGGGAGAUUGGAAUUCCUGGUGUAGCGGUGGAAUGCGCAGAUAUCAGGAGGAACACCGGUGGCGAAGGCGGGUCUCUGGGCCGAUACUGACGCUGAGGAGCGAAAGCGUGGGGAGCGAACAGG